UGGAUAACCGUAGUAAUUCUAGAGCUAAUACAUGCGUUACGCCAAAACUUCUGGAAUGGCAGUAUUUAUUAGAUAACAAAUCAAUAUUCCUCUGGUCUAUUUGAUGAUUCAUAAUAACUAGCUUAUCGAAUCGCUGGGUUGUACCCGCGAUAAAUCAAUCAAGUUUCUGCCCCAUCAGCUUGAUGGUAGUGUAUUGGACUACCAUGGCUUUUACGGGUAACGGGGGAUUAGGGUUCGACACCGGAGAGGGAGCCUGAGAAACGGCUACCACUUCUACGGAAGGCAGCAGGCGCGUAAAUUACCCAAUCCUAAUUCAGGGAGGUAGUGACAAGAAAUAAUAGACCGGCGUAAGCCGGGUUUACAAUGAGCCUAAUUUACACAGCUUAGUGAGGAUCCAUUGGAGGGCAAGUACUGGUGCCAGCAGCCGCGGUAAUUCCAGCUCCAAUAGCAUAUAUUAAAUUG
rnacentral:rRNA from 1 species